GUCCAUGCCGUAAACGUUGGGCGCUAGAUGUGGGGACCAUUCCACGGUUUCCGUGUCGCAGCUAACGCAUUAAGCGCCCCGCCUGGGGAGUACGGCCGCAAGGCUAAAACUCAAAGGAAUUGACGGGGGCCCCGCACAAGCGGCGGAGCAUGCGGAUUAAUUCGAUGCAACGCGAAGAACCUUACCAAGGCUUGACAUAUACGAGAACGCUCUAGAAAUAGAGAACUCUUUGGACACUCGUAUACAGGUGGUGCAUGGUUGUCGU
rnacentral:rRNA from 1 species